AUCAACUUUCGAUGGUAGGAUAGAGGCCUACCAUGGUGGUAACGGGUAACGGGGUGUUAGGGCACGACACCGGAGAGGGAGCCUGAGAAACGGCUACCACAUCCAAGGAUGGCAGCAGGCGCGCAAAUUACCCAAUCCCGACACGGGGAGGUAGUGACAAUAAAUAACAAUACGGGGUUCUUUCGGAUCUCGUAAUUGGAAUGAGUACAAUUUAAAUCUCUUAACGAGGAACAAUUGGAGGGCAAGUCUGGUGCCAGCAGCCGCGGUAAUUCCAGCUCCAAUAGCGUAUAUUAAAGUUGUUGCAGUUAAAAAGCUCGUAGUUGAAUUUCGGGGUUAGUAGGUUGGUCAUGCCUCUGGUAUGUACUGGUCUCACUGAUUCCUCCUUCCUUAUGAACCGUAAUGCCAUUAAUUUGGUGUUGCGGGGAAUUUGGACUGUUACUUUGAAAAAAUUAGAGUGUUUAAAGCAGGCUAACGCUUGAAUACAUUAGCAUGGAAUAAUGAAAUAGGACGUUCGAUCUUAUUUUGUUGGUUUCUAGGAUUGACGUAAUGAUUAAUAGGGAUAGUUGGGGGCAUUAGUAUUCAAUUGUCAGAGGUGAAAUUCUUGGAUUUAUUGAAGACUACUACUGCGAAAGCAUUUGCCAAGGAUGUUUUCAUUAAUCAAGAACGAAAGUUAGGGGAUCGAAGACGAUCAGAUACCGUCGUAGUCUUAACCAUAAACUAUGCCGACUAGGGAUCGGAUGAUGUUAAUUUUUUAAUGACUCAUUCGGCGCCUUACGGGAAACCAAAGUGUUUGGGUUC
rnacentral:rRNA from 1 species